CCCGCGGCCUGUCCCUCCCCAGCCAACAACAUCUGCUUCUACGGCGAGUGCUCCUACUACUGCUCCACGGAGCAUGCCCUGUGCGGGAAGCCAGACCAGAUCGAGGGCUCGCUGGCGGCCUUCCUGCCCGACCUGUCCCUGGCCAAGAGGAAGACCUGGCGGAACCCUUGGCGGCGCUCCUACCACAAGCGCAAGAAGGCCGAGUGGGAAGUGGACCCCGACUACUGUGAGGAGGUGAAGCAGACACCGCCCUAUGACAGCAGCCACCGCAUCCUGGACGUCAUGGACAUGACGAUCUUCGACUUCCUCAUGGGAAACAUGGACCGUCACCACUACGAGACUUUGAGAAGUUUGGGAAUGAAACGUUCAUCAUCCACUUAGACAAUGGAAGAGGGUUUGGGAAAUAUUCACACGACGAGCUCUCCAUCCUGGUGCCGCUACAGCAGUGCUGCAGGAUCCGGAAGUCCACCUACCUGCGUCUGCAGCUCCUGGCCAAGGAGGAGUACAAGCUGAGCCUGCUGAUGGCCGAGUCUCUGCGGGGGGACCAGGUGGCGCCUGUGCUGUACCAGCCGCACCUGGAGGCCCUGGACCGGCGGCUCCGCGUGGUGCUAAAGGCCGUCCGGGACUGCGUGGAGAGGGACGGGCCCCACAGCGUGGUGGAGGAUGACCUGGACACUGAGCACACAGCCGCCUCGGCAAGGUAGUGUCCGCCGGCCGGACGGAGCCAGAGGGGCCGGACUCCCAGCAAGCACAUGCGCCCGUCGUGAAUUCAGUGAAUUCAGAGGCAGGACGGGAUCAUCCGGAGUCGGGAGCUGCUGCCACGGGAGGUGAGGCUCCCCAGGCCUAAUAGGACACAUUUUGUCAGUGUUUGACCAGAAGAGGUUGGGAAGGAAGCGCUGUCUGUGCUCACGGACAGAGGCGGCCGGCGCCAGAGGCAUUCCAUCCUUUCUGUAGGGAAAGGAGCCUUUACUUACUAUUUUGUAUUUAUAGCUGAUGAAUAAGUAUAAAAACAGAGACGUGUACACAGACGCCAAUCACCUACCAAACCAAACACGAGGACCGCCCUCCCCGGUUCUGGGGGCUCCUCAAGGCCAAGCUCACCCCUCAAGUGCUCUCACGCUCGGGACCUACUUCAAGUAAAAACUCUCCUUCCUGGGGCCUCGGCUCCUGGAGGGCUGGAGGGUCACGUCUGAGGACGGGAGGAGGCUCUCGCUGGACGUCUGGCCUGUGCGCGGGUGGACGGAUGCCCACGUGGUUUUGGAGGACCCGAUGACCAGGCGUCCUGCGAGUCCGCCCGCCGGCCCGCAGCGCCCAUCUCGGACUUGGCUGUGGAUGGCUGGCGCAAGUGUGCCCUGCGGGGCUGGCUGUGCGCAGCCGUGGGCUGACCUUUGCAGAGUUUUGUGGAAUAGUUUGCAAUGUGAUAAAUGUGCAAUAAAGGUACAGCAGAUGUGUGUCGGCCUCA